rnacentral:rRNA from 1 species
UGGCGGACGGGUGAGUAACGCGUGGAAAACCUGCCGUAUACUGGGGGAUAACACUUAGAAAUAGGUGCUAAUACCGCAUAAGCGCACAGCUUCGCAUGAAGCGGUGUGAAAAACUCUGGUGGUAUACGAUGGUUCCGCGUCUGAUUAGCUAGUUGGUGGGGUAAUGGCUUACCAAGGCAACGAUCAGUAGCCGGCCUGAGAGGGUGAACGGCCACAUUGGGACUGAGACACGGCCCAAACUCCUACGGAAGGCAGCAG